rnacentral:lncRNA from 1 species
GUGUUUUGCAGAGCUUGCUGUUCCGGCUGCUGCGUCUUCAGAGGCUAAUCGAGGCAAGGGCGUCGCGAGCUAGAGCCCUACCCGAUGAAUCGCCGUGCUAGAGGAUCACCAGCUGCAGGUAGUAGUGUUUUUAUUUUGAGCUUAUGUACAUACUGAUACUAGAACUCGCUGGAGUGAGUGUUUUUUUACUUGUUAGUUUGUAUGUAUAUGAGAUUGUUCAUUCUACCUCCUUAGUUCUUUUCAGCUCUACACUACUGUUUGUAGUAUUGUAUAUUUUACAGAUACAAUUAUCGCUUCGUAUACAGGAAAAAUUUCUUUGUAUACGGCGGAUUUGUCGGCGUGCUCGGGUGUAAGGACUGAGAUUUUUGCAGUGUAGCUAAACUCUCAGUUGACGAUGUUUUUGUGUGUAAUUUAAUUACAAAAGCACUCGUCAAGUUUCGGGCGAAAACGAGUUAAAACGGAAAUUCUACGGGAUUUCUAAGUUUCACUUAAAGUGAAUAGUAACUCGAUUUUUNGAACCUGGCAUAUGUUAAACUACCUGAUUUAGCCCUAGGGGCCGUUGUAUUUUUAUACUGUUGCAGUAUCCUCAUAGUGAGUAUCCCAGAUAGUUCAGAUUUCAGUUAUGCUCGUGCUGGGAUGCCGAGCUGAUUUUUACAGUAGUGUUUACAGUAUUCCGGAUUAGUGGGUGCCGUAGUGGUUGACGGCGGACCCGGAUUUGAUCGUUCCGAUAUCAGAUUGUGCCGAGGGCACGUGACUAGUGGUUGGUAGUACUGUUAGACUUGUUUUCUUGACUUUAGCUUGUGAGAGCCCGAUUGAGCUCGAUAGAGAUACGCUUGCAUACUCGGUUGGGUCGCGCCCACGAGUACUGCUCCGGAGUCUGUCUUUGUGCUUUUGAUUUGAUGUCGCUGAUUAGUUGCUAUCCACGGACUGUUUAGCGUGGAGGUAGCGCGGCUUAGACAGGCGAGACGGGUGCAUAUACAGUCCCUAAUGAGAUUAGGUCAAAAUUGAUAGUACACACAGUUGGAUAGUGUAGUGGCAUGUAGCUGUGGAUUUCUUUCCGGGUUACCUUUUAGCCUUGUUUCCUACUGUAGUCUUAGUGGGCAAGCCGAUAAUUUUGAGGGCGGUACCCACUGAGGACUACUUGUUUUACAGUAGUUCUCACGCCCAGUUCGUACCAUGUGUUUUGCAGAGCCUGCUGUUCCGGAUGCUGCGUCUUCACAGGCUGAUCGAGGCAAGGGCGUCACCAGCUAGAGCCCUACCCAACGAAUCGCCGUGCUAGAGGAUCACCAGCUGCAGGUAGUAGUGUUUUUAUUUUGAGCUUAUGUACAUACUGAUACUAGAACUCGCUGGAGCGAGUGUUUUUGUACUUGUUAGUUUGUAUGUAUAUGAGAUUAUUCAUUC